rnacentral:rRNA from 1 species
UGGGGAAUCUUGGACAAUGGGCGCAAGCCUGAUCCAGCCAUGCCGCGUGAGUGAUGAAGGCCUUAGGGUUGUAAAGCUCUUUUGCCGGGGACGAUAAUGACGGUACCCGGAGAAUAAGUCCCGGCUAACUUCGUGCCAGCAGCCGCGGUAAUACGAAGGGGACUAGCGUUGUUCGGAAUCACUGGGCGUAAAGCGCACGUAGGCGGAUUUGUAAGUCAGGGGUGAAAUCCCGGGGCUCAACCUCGGAACUGCCUUUGAUACUGCGGAUCUCGAGUCCGAUAGAGGUGAGUGGAAUUCCUAGUGUAGAGGUGAAAUUCGUAGAUAUUAGGAAGAACACCGGUGGCGAAGGCGGCUCACUGGAUCGGUACUGACGCUGAGGUGCGAAAGCGUGGGGAGCAAACAGGAUUAGAUACCCCGGUAGUCCCUGAGCGGGCUGGCAAGGCGCAU